rnacentral:rRNA from 1 species
GGAGUAAGGAGCUGAUAUCAGGUACUCACCCCAAGACAUCUAGCCAUGCCACACCCACAAGGGCCCUCAGCAGUGAUUAACAUUAAAAAUGAACGACAGUUCGAUCUAGCCAAUGAAAACAGAGCCGGCUAAUCUGGUGCCAGCCGCCGCGGUUACACCAUGUGGCUCAAAUUGAUCUUAAUACGGCGUAAAGCGUGAUUAAAGAAAUAAAUUAUUGGGGUUAAAUUUAAGUCAAGCCGUAGUACGCUUGCUUAUAAGAAAGUCCAUUCGAAAGACACCUCAACUCACCCACUUGAACUCACGAUAAUUAGGACACAAACUGGGAUUAGAUACCCCACUAUGCCUAAUCAUAAACCUUUAAAUUACACCUCUAUCGCCAGGGAACUACGAGCAAAGCUUAAAACCCAAAGGACUUGACGGUGCCCCAUAACCUUCUAGAGGAGCCUGUCCUGUAACCGAUACCCCCCGUUUAACCUCACCACUUUUAGUCUUCAGCCUGUAUACUUCCGUCGCCAGCUUACCGCAUGAGCGAAUUAAGUAAGCUCAAUGUCUCCAUCAACACGUCAGGUCAAAGUGCAGCAAAUAAAGUGGCAAGAGAUGGGCUACACUCUCUAAUAUAGAAAACACGAAAGACUAUUUGAAACAAUAAUCUGAAGGUGGAUUUAGUAGUAAGAGGAAAAUAGUAUAUUCUUCUUAAUUCGGCACUGGGGUGUGUACACACCGCCCGUCACCCUCUUCAACAAACCUACCC